AUGCACGCUGGCUGCGUGCCUAAUACAUGCAAGUCGCGCGAACAGACGAGGAGCUUGCUCCUCUGACGUUAGCGGCGGACGGGUGAGUAACACGUGGAUAACCUACCUAUAAGACUGGGAUAACUUCGGGAAACCGGAGCUAAUACCGGAUAAUAUAUUGAACCGCAUGGUUCAAUAGUGAAAGACGGUUUUGCUGUCACUUAUAGAUGGAUCCGCGCCGCAUUAGCUAGUUGGUAAGGUAACGGCUUACCAAGGCGACGAUGCGUAGCCGACCUGAGAGGGUGAUCGGCCACACUGGAACUGAGACACGGUCCAGACUCCUACGGGAGGCAGCAGUAGGGAAUCUUCCGCAAUGGGCGAAAGCCUGACGGAGCAACGCCGCGUGAGUGAUGAAGGUCUUCGGAUCGUAAAACUCUGUUAUUAGGGAAGAACAAAUGUGUAAGUAACUAUGCACGUCUUGACGGUACCUAAUCAGAAAGCCACGGCUAACUACGUG
rnacentral:rRNA from 1 species